rnacentral:tRNA from 1 species
GUUGUCUUAGCUUAGUGGUAGAGUGCGUGGCUUUUAACCACGUGGUCCUGGGUUCGAUCCACACAGACAGUG